GAAAUUCUGCACUUUUCAGCUGCACCCAAUUCUUUCUACAAAGAGUAAACAUGCAGAGCGCUCUGCGGGAGAGUUCAGGGAUAGCUACUGAAGGUUCAGGAGCCGGAAGAAACGCAACGUGCUCCAAAAGAACCUGAAUCUUGAGGAAGAGAACGGGUGUGCUGGAGAACGUUAUUUGCCAGAGAAUGAGCACAGUGGCUGCCAACGAGGCUUUCCUUUCACCUACUCACUCUCAAGUGUGGGAUAACCGCCACGGAGCGCUACAAAGGGACGUGCUGAGAGCCGUGAGUGCGCCCUACAAGGGUCUCUAGGGCUCUCAGGAAGACAGACCACAGGACCCUUGUAUAAGUGAGCCUGUCUUUAACAUGGAAUCCCAGCUGUAAGAUUAAAUGGGUAGUAAUUCCCUCAACACAGG
rnacentral:lncRNA from 1 species